GGCUAUACUGCAGUCGAGCGGACGAAGGGAGCUUGCUCCCGGAUGUUAGCGGCGGACGGGUGAGUAACACGUGGGUAACCUGCCUGUAAGACUGGGAUAACUCCGGGAAACCGGAGCUAAUACCGGAUAGUUCCUUGAACCGCAUGGUUCAAGGAUGAAAGACGGUUUCGGCUGUCACUUACAGAUGGACCCGCGGCGCAUUAGCUAGUUGGUGGGGUAAUGGCUCACCAAGGCGACGAUGCGUAGCCGACCUGAGAGGGUGAUCGGCCACACUGGGACUGAGACACGGCCCAGACUCCUACGGGAGGCAGCAGUAGGGAAUCUUCCGCAAUGGACGAAAGUCUGACGGAGCAACGCCGCGUGAGUGAUGAAGGUUUUCGGAUCGUAAAGCUCUGUUGUUAGGGAAGAACAAGUGCGAGAGUAACUGCUCGCACCUUGACGGUACCUAACCAGAAAGCCACGGCUAACUACGUGCCAGCAGCCGCGGUAAUACGUAGGUGGCAAGCGUUGUCCGGAAUUAUUGGGCGUAAAGGGCUCGCAGGCGGUUUCUUAAGUCUGAUGUGAAAGCCCCCGGCUCAACCGGGGAGGGUCAUUGGAAACUGGGAAACUUGAGUGCAGAAGAGGAGAGUGGAAUUCCACGUGUAGCGGUGAAAUGCGUAGAGAUGUGGAGGAACACCAGUGGCGAAGGCGACUCUCUGGUCUGUAACUGACGCUGAGGAGCGAAAGCGUGGGGAGCGAACAGGAUUAGAUACCCUGGUAGUCCACGCCGUAAACGAUGAGUGCUAAGUGUUAGGGGGUUUCCGCCCCUUAGUGCUGCAGCUAACGCAUUAAGCACUCCGCCUGGGGAGUACGGUCGCAAGACUGAAACUCAAAGGAAUUGACGGGGGCCCGCACAAGCGGUGGAGCAUGUGGUUUAAUUCGAAGCAACGCGAAGAACCUUACCAGGUCUUGACUCCUCUGACACCCUAGAGAUAGGCUUUCCCUUCGGGGACAAAGUGACAGGUGGUGCAUGGUUGUCGUCAGCUCGUGUCGUGAGAUGUUGGGUAAGUCCCGAACGAGCGCACCCUUGAUCUAAU
rnacentral:rRNA from 1 species